UACGUAGGGUGCAAGCGUUGUCCGGAAUUAUUGGGCGUAAAGAGCUCGUAGGCGGCUUGUUGCGUCGACUGUGAAAACCCGCGGCUUAACUGCGGGCUUGCAGUCGAUACGGGCAGACUAGAGUGCGGUAGGGGUGACUGGAAUUCCUGGUGUAGCGGUGGAAUGCGCAGAUAUCAGGAGGAACACCGAUGGCGAAGGCAGGUCACUGGGCCGCAACUGACGCUGAGGAGCGAAAGCAUGGGGAGCGAACAGG
rnacentral:rRNA from 1 species